UAAAGUGGCGACCGGGUGAGUAACACGUGACUAACCUACCUUCCAAAGUGGGGGGAUAACCUCGGGAAACCGGGGCUAAUACCGCAUAACAUCUUUGAAGUGGAAAUUUCGAAGAUCAAAGGAGCAAUUCGCUGGAAGAGGGGGUCGCGGCUGAUUAGCUAGUUGGCGGGGUAAUGGCCCACCAAGGCUUUGAUCGGUAGCCGGCCUGAGAGGGCGCACGGCCACACUGGAACUGAAACACGGUCCAG
rnacentral:rRNA from 1 species